CAAAAAUCGCGAAACGUAACGCUCCAAUGCUAUCUGGAGCAGCCAUUAAUGUGCAGCGAAAUUUGUCUCUGUAUCUCAUUCCCCCACCCCCAAAAAACCACAUUCACUCUCCGCGCACUCUAACAAUUUUGGCGCGCACGCUACAUACAACACAAUACAAAAGGUCGUUUUAACCGCGCGCACUGAUCAAUGUCGCGAUGGUCCAAUCGGAACGCCGACACUCCAAGUCACAGAUUUGGUGUGAAGAAAACGUUUUUCUGACCAAAUCGACAACACACACGCAACGACACGCAUCGUCACAUCGACACGCCGUCGAUGGAAGUGAGUGAUGUUCUAAAAAUAGAUCUGUGGGGCGAGUGAGAAGAGGAAGGGGUGUAGAACAAGAACGAAAGCGAUGAGAGUGAGUCGUAGCGUGCGUGUGUGUGGUGUACACGCGAGAACUCAUUUUUUGCUCUUUCCUGGAAUCCAGAUGUUCUACAUUCUUCUGAUUUUAAGCAACAAAAGUAGAACGGGAAGUAGAAGGCUACUUCAUUUCUACUUUCCUUAUUACUUUCGAGCGUGUUGACUCGCUUGGGUAGUAGUUGAUAUGUUUCUAAAUCAUUCAAAUAACAGAAAUAUAUUAGAUACGGUAAGUGUAACAAUAUCCGCUUUGUUUUGUUUGUUCUCAACAAUUUGGCUUAUAUGUUGGAAAUAGAUUCCGAAAAUGAACCAAAACAACGUGCUGCAGUCCGGUAGAGGUAAGAAAAUUCCUGCAUCUGGAAAAAGAUCCCACAGUGUUUUGGAGAAGGAAAAUGAAGAACCUGGAACUAAAAAAAAGCGUGCAAUAUGGUCCAACCGAAGUCAAGCCGACCAAUUAGUGCAAAUUUUAAAACCGUCAUCAAAUCGUCAAAGACAAAAACGGAAACCAUUGUCAAAGAAGAAGUUGCUUAUAACAGCACAACGAAUACGAUCCAAGCAGCAAGCACCUCGUCAUCGUCAUAUCCGAAAACGGAAAACAAAAAAAGGCACCCACUAAUGAAAAUGUUUUAUUAGCUCCCCCAACCGCCGACGUGCAAGCAAUAAUGUCGUACUUAACGAAGUGUCCCUGGCGAACAUCAAUGAUUCCUAAACAAGAAAAAGAAACUCCAGUUUGUUCAACACACAACACACAACAACAACAAGAUCUCCAAAAAAAUAGCCAAGAACAAUUUCAAACAGUAUUGGUAGAUUUGAAGAACAAUACCAACAAGAUCCAACAACAAAUGUUUCCACAUCAAAUGUCUCCAUGACAGGGUCACAUCCUCAGUAUUUGCCACGUUCUAGAUGCAAUUCAUUAUAUGAUUAUCUUUACAACCAUUCAUUCGAAGAAACCCUAUCCAUACCGAUAUCGACACCCGCACCAAAUGACAAUAGUAAGGCAAUACCUACAACAACCUCAACUACGACUGCAACUACAUCAGUAAAUCAGAAAAGCAAAAAAACAAAUUCAACAUUAGAGCGCUAAUUGGACAUUUAAAUACCAAAUUAGAUUACAUAAUAGAUGUAUUACACGAAAAAUCAGGACAUAGUGAGCAAAUGAAUGAAUUUGAUUUCGAUGCAAUACAGGACCAAAAACAAUUAGAGGAUUUUGAAAGCCAGCUAGGAGAAUCAAACGGUACUUUCAAACAAAACAUUUUAACGGAACUGCGAAGUUCAUUAAAGUUAGGGAACUCUAAAUACCAAAUACACCAAGCAUUGGACUUACUAUUUUCCCGGCAAUUUUUAGCUAAAAUGACUUGGUCCGGACGCAGUAAAACAGAGCAAAAGAUUCCUUUCUCGUCCUACACUAAAAUAAAAAAAAUUCUUGGAAAUUGCGGAGACAAAAUUUGUAAACCGGCGGAAACAUUUGUUUUUGAUUAUAUAGGACAGAAAUUACGACAUGUCAGCUCUAGACUUAACCUGUCCGGAGCUCGUGCUUCUACUUCUCAUAAUUUUAAGCCGAAAAACUUAACAAAGUAAUGCUAGAGAAAAUAGAAUUUAUAAAAAGCAUGUUCCUUUAUAUAUUACAUUAUAUUAUGUUUAUUAUGUUCGUUAUGCUUACA